rnacentral:lncRNA from 1 species
AACCUAGAUCAGCACCUCAAACAAUUAGAAUUUACAUUACAAUGCAGUAACUCAUUCACCUUAGUGGGUGUUUUCCUCAACUAAAAUCACUUGUGAUUUUCUCUUAUCCUGUAACGCCCUGCAACCUAUAACAGUCAAGACAUCCUAUUUUAAAUUACCAAGUAAUACAUACUUGUCAAAUUCAUCAUCAUCUAAUUCAACACAAUCAAAAUAUUCCUUACAAAUAUACAUGUAAAAGGCAUAACCUCCUCCACGUACUUUCCUAUCAAGUAUACUUUGCUUCUUAUCAACAUACACUAUACCACAAUGAAUA